ensembl:snRNA U5 U5 spliceosomal RNA
ACUCCCAGGUUUCUCUUCGAAUCAGAUAAAUCUUUCGCCUUUUACUAAAGAUUUCGUGGAGAGACAAUGUGAGUUUCAAUAAUUUUGAUGCUCUGCCGUGGGUGGGGCU